GGAGGGUGCGAGCGUUAAUCGGAAUUACUGGGCGUAAAGCGCGCGUAGGCGGUUUGGUAAGUCGGAUGUGAAAGCCCUGGGCUCAACCCGGGAAUUGCAUUCGAUACUGCCUGACUGGAGUAUGGUAGAGGGAAGUGGAAUUUCCGGUGUAGCGGUGAAAUGCGUAGAUAUCGGAAGGAACACCAGUGGCGAAGGCGACUUCCUGGGCCAAUACUGACGCUGAGGUGCGAAAGCGUGGGGAGCAAACAGGGAUUAGAUACCCUGGUAGUCCACGCCGUAAACGAUGAGAACUAGAUGUUGGGGGGGGUUGCCCCUUCGGUGUCGCAGCUAACGCGUUAAGUUCUCCGCCUGGGGAGUACGCCGGCAACGGUA
rnacentral:rRNA from 1 species